rnacentral:rRNA from 1 species
GACGAACGCUGGCGGCGUGCUUAACACAUGCAAGUCGAACGGAAAGGCCCUGCUUUUGUGGGGUGCUCGAGUGGCGAACGGGUGAGUAACACGUGAGUAACCUGCCCUUGACUUUGGGAUAACUUCAGGAAACUGGGGCUACUACCGCAUAGGCGCUCCUGCUGCAUGGUGGGGGUUGGAAAGUUUCGGCGGUUGGGGUUGUACUCGCGGCUUAUCAGCUUGUUGGUGGGGUAGUGGCUUACCAAGGCUGUGACGGGUAGCCGGCCGGAGAGGGUGACCGGCCACAUGGGGACUGAGACUCGGCCCAGAAUCCUACGGGAGGCAGGAGUGGGGAAUAGUGCACAAUGGGCGGAAGCCUGAUGCAGCAACGCCGCGUGCGGGAUGACGGCCUUCGGGUUGUAAACCGCUUUCGCCUGUGACGAAGCGUGAGUGACGGUAAUGGGUAAAGAAGCACCGGCUAACUACGUG